rnacentral:rRNA from 1 species
UUUAUGGAGAGUUUGAUCCUGGCUCAGGAUGAACGCUGGCGGCGUGCCUAAUACAUGCAAGUCGAGCGAACGGACGAGAAGCUUGCUUCUCUGAUGUUAGCGGCGGACGGGUGAGUAACACGUGGAUAACCUACCUAUAAGACUGGGAUAACUUCGGGAAACCGGAGCUAAUACCGGAUAAUAUUUUGAACCGCAUGGUUCAAAAGUAAAAGACGGUCUUGCUGUCACUUAUAGAUGGAUCCGCGCUGCAUUAGCUAGUUGGUAAGGUAACGGCUUACCAAGGCAACGAUGCAUAGCCGACCUGAGAGGGUGAUCAGCCACACUGGAACUGAGACACGGUCCAGACUCCUACGGGAGGCAGCAGUAGGGAAUCUUCCGCAAUGGGCGAAAGCCUGACGGAGCAACGCCGCGUGAGUGAUGAAGGUCUUCGGAUCGUAAAACUCUGUUAUUAGGGAAGAACAUAUGUGUAAGUAACUGUGCACAUCUUGACGGUACCUAAUCAGAAAGCCACGGCUAACUACGUGCCAGCAGCCGCGGUAAUACGUAGGUGGCAAGCGUUAUCCGGAAUUAUUGGGCGUAAAGCGCGCGUAGGCGGUUUUUUAAGUCUGAUGUGAAAGCCCACGGCUCAACCGUGGAGGG